rnacentral:lncRNA from 1 species
CCCUUUUCUCACGAAAGGCUGGACUUGAUGAGCUUUUGAGGUCACUUCCAAACUGGGAUGUUCUGUGAUUCUAUGAAAUUUGUAGACGCCAGCACCAGCUCUGCCUGCAGUGAGGAAGCAUGUCUGCAUGGUCAUUGGCUUCAAAACUAGCACUUUUCUACUUUCUUUCUUUUAGGUAGAAGGUAACAGCAACCUUCCCUCCAGUUAAGUCAGAGUAAAAUGGGUCUGGAGAGAACUCAGAUACAGGGCUGAAAACAAAGACAUCCAAACCUUGAGCCAUUUAGAAGAGGAAGAAGCCAAAAUCUCUGCCAGAGGUUUGACUGCUGGGUUUACUCAUGGCUUCAGGACAGGGUCCAAGAGGGACCCAAGGGACCCGUGUGUGUAUGUGUGGUGGGCGAGGGAAGGCAGAGGAGCACCCACCUGCACGGGCCAGCAGAGACCCAUACGCUCAGCACUAACCACAGGUUUAGUUGUGAAGCAGCUCAGCCUCUGCAGGCAGCUAGGAAGCAAGGUAGACUCAGAAAAGAAGUGGAUGCUCCAUCUGAUGACCUAGCCUACUCAAUGGAGACAGUUCCUGCAGGAGAAAACAGAGCAAAACAAAACAAAAGAAAAGAAAGAAUAAAACAAAACAAAACCAAAACCUGGGAAAUGCUUCUCCAUCUAAUCCCAACUAUCUUGUCCUGCUGCUAAGAGGAACCAUGUGGCUGUUACAGAGACGUGCAGGAGAACGGUGUU